GACAGAGGAUGCAAGCGUUAUCCGGAAUGAUUGGGCGUAAAGCGUCUGUAGGUGGCUUUUCAAGUCUGUCGUGAAAUCCCCGGGCUCAACCUGGGAAUGGCGAUGGAUACUGGGCAGCUAGAGUGUGUCAGAGGAUGGUGGAAUUCCCGGUGUAGCGGUGAAAUGCGUAGAGAUGUGGAGGAACACCGAUGGCGAAGGCAGCCCCCUGGGUCAAGACUGACGCUCAUGCACGAAAGCGUGGGGAGCAAACAGG
rnacentral:rRNA from 1 species